ensembl:lncRNA
CUGAAUAAUAAUGUUCACUGGUUACUGUUUGAGUAGUUCUUCUGGCUCCUAAAUGCAAAUAUGUAACAAUAACAACUGUUUCAGGUAGAAUUCAGGACUUCACAUAUCCCUUCAUGUCCCUUCGUAACCCUUCAAAAUAUUCUUCCUGCUUGACAAUAUUAAUUAAUUUUUUUUAUAGCUAAUUGCCUUCAGCGCAAACCUCUGAGUUAUCAGUAUUUUCAUUCUUCAUUUCAGGUCUAUGUCGCUCUGUAAAACCACCGCUCGCUACGCAGCUUCCCUUCGUCCUUUCUGUAUGUCCUGCUGAGGAAUUUGGAUGAAAGGAAAGGAGGCAGAGCAGCCUCGAAGGGAGGGCAAAAAAGAGAGAGGAAGAAGUGAUAGAGGAAAAGAGGGAGGAGAAGUGACAGCAGGGACAGAAAAUAGAGGCAAAGAAUCUUUAGGAAUACUAAUAAAUUAAUGAUGCAACAUGUUGACAUUUUUCUCUUUCUUCUUUCUGUCCCUGCACUCUUUCCUUGUCUCAUUUCAACCCCUCUCUUCAACUCUCCUCCCCCUCCUCCUCCUCCCCUUCUUCCUCUGCAGGUAGGAGGGUGUCCUUGUUAGCUUGUCAUCCUGUUGUAACCCUGAGGCCAGUGAUGUGACUGGAAUGUGAAUUCAUCAUAAAAGGACCGACUCUACCUGAGGACUUCCUGCUUCCCCAAGAAACUCAGGGCUGUUUGUAUGGAGACGAUUGAGAUGAGCAUCAAUAGAGAUGGAAUGAAAAGACCGAAGGCAACACACACACACACACACACACACACACACACAGACAGACACACACACACACACACACACACACACACACAUUUCUUUGGCUGCCCUGUGAUUGACUCACUGAAUGUUUUUCUUUUUGAUGAUCACUUUUAUGUCUCCAUCUUCAGCUGUGUGUGUGUGUGUGUGUGUGUGUGUGUGUGUGUGUGUGUGUGUCAGCCAGUGAGUCAGUCCACCCCCCCUCCCUAUUGCUGGAGGAUCAUCCAGGAAUAAACACGCAUCUCUCAGGCCUGGUUUCUCUCAUCAGUGAUCACAGAUCCUCCAACUCUCCACUUUACACAGUGAAUCACAGCACAGACUCAAAGCUGGAAAACAAAAGCCUGCCACUAAGAAAUGCCUGAAUAUCUAUCCUCCAACAGUGGAUAUUAACCUGCCACUGUACUUAGUCACUGCUCUUUAUUUCAGUGUUUUGCCUCUUGUUUGUAGAGUUCAUCUCACAGAUUUUCAGAUACUUUAUUUCACAGUCUUUCAGUAUAAACACAGUUACUCUGCUCAAUCAAACGUUCUUCACGUCUGAAACUGAAAUACAUGAACUCUUGCC